AUACCGAUAAUCGACUAGGCAUCGCUGUA
rnacentral:sRNA from 1 species